AGACAGUGAGGAGCAGCCAGUCAGGGUCCAGCAAGCCCAUAUAAGAAGAGCUGCAGAGCAGAGGCGGCUCAGUUAUUCUCUAGAGCUCAAGGAGAGAGGCCUUGGUGCCUUCCAGGCAGGAGGAAACUUUGGCACUCUGGACAGAGUAGUGCUGGUCAGGAACAGGGGAGUAAGAGGACACUCCUGGCUGGCUGCUAGGAAUGGCAUGUUGAGUCCCUGAGGCCAUUUCUCCAGUUUGUCAAGAUCAUUUUGAAUUCUAGUCCAGUCAUCCUCCACACAGGAGACACAUUUGCACCACAGAGGGACUCCCCUGCCUCAGGUGGACUCCUUAGCUGUUCAGAAGCAGCACAAAGCACAUGGAAAGUCUCCCACCAAAGCACCAGAGGUGUACAACUUUGCUUAGUUUGACAAGACCAUAGCUUGAGAUGUACUGCUUUCACUCUAUCUGGAAG